rnacentral:snoRNA from 2 species
GGGCCGUGAUGGGGACACUUGCGUAAUAGCUCCUUGAACCUUUCCCAUGUUUCAUAUAAGGAUUCCCCGUCCUCUUGUGAGUAUGUAUUAAUUUCAGCCAUUAAUUU